UAUAAAAGUAACUCGAUUGGACUAGACCCC
rnacentral:piRNA from 2 species